AAUCGUAUUUCGGGUGUAAAUCUGAUUGGUCUAUGAGACAAAAAUAUUUUUUAAUCUGUCAUUUGAUUGGUUGGUGCUAAUUAUAUUAUAUUGUUUAUAGUGAUCACAACUAUAAUUAGAUUGUUGUUGUCCUUGUGUGAAAUUUAAAUUUCUCCUGCGACAUUUUGAUUGGAUAAUAAAUAUAAACUUUGCUGCACAUGGGUGAAAACUAUCGGAUUAAGGUUUGUGUAGACAUUGUGUAGUAAUGAUGGGGAGACAAAAUCUGUUUGUGUCAAUAUUUUCAUAUGUCAGCUUCUGAUGACAUCAUUCAUUUGUAAUGAUUAAGAUUG